AUGAAGCAAUGAAGUGGUUCAAGAGAAAAUCUUUUCAUGUUGUGUUGUGUCAUCGUUUCAUAGUGUCUGAGCUUCAGGAGGAGGGCAUGAACGCGAUUAACCUGCCCCUCUGCCCCACACCCUUUGAGCUGGACCCUGAAGACACCAUGCUUGGUUAAAACAUUACUAAUUCAGAGUUCAACCACACAGCCGCUGUAAGCCUCUAAAAGCUGCCGUAUUUCCCAUUUCUCUCAAAAUACGAGAAUGGUUGAUCCUAACUCAAGGAACGAUCCCAAACUCCAAGAGCUGAUGAAGGUGCUCAUUGAUUGGAUCAAUGGCGUGUUGGUGGGAGAAAGAAUCAUUGUAGGAUCUAACUGAAGACCUCUAUGAUGGGCAGGUUCUUCAAAAGCUCUUCGAGAAACUGGAGGGAGAGAGGCUGAAUGUGGCUGAGAUGACUCAGUGUGAGAUCGCUCAGAAACAGAAGAAAAGAUCAAUGACACCCUCAAAGUUUCCUCCGGGAACGUUAAAUGGACUGUUGACUGGCAUCGUCUGGAAGAUAUGAGCGAGACGCCUUUGAUACCCUUUUUGACCAUGCGCCAGAUAAGCUGGAUGUAGUGAAAAAGGCAAGUGCACAUCACACUAUUUCUUGAGAGGUUUUACACACUGACAGCUUUGACUCUUGACUCUGAACUUUUGGUCUCUCCUUUUUUCAGACUCUUAACACAUUUGUCGAGAGCUGAGGGAUUUAACAUGUUGUAAAAGCGAUGCGGAGAUGAUGGCGUUUUUAUUACUCGACAGAUGAGUAAGGUAUUUUAUUGAACAGAUAGAUUGCCAUAUGUGUUCUAACAGAAUUCAUUGUUAAACAUUAUCUGUUAUGAAUGGUCAUAUUCAUCCGCACAGUCACAUAGAGCCGAAGCACAACCAAAACAAUGUUCUUGCAUGCAGUCUUUUUUUAACUGACGUU